GGGGAUGUAGCUCAGCAGUAGAAUUCUUGCUUUGCAUGUAAGAGGCCCUGGGUUCAACCCCCAACAUCUCCA
rnacentral:tRNA from 1 species